AAUGCGAGACUUGGCCUCGGCUGCACUGGGCACUUGCAGGGUGAUUUCCUCCGGGCACUGGCUGGCAUCUGCUCCUGGAGGAGAGAGAGCCAAGAAACACGUCCACAGCGUCCUGGUCUGACAGGUCCAUCAUGUCCAUCUGCUCCAGCAUGUCCACGUUCACCUCCAUGGAGGAAAUGCUGCCUAAGGGGGCUGCAGAGAACGAGGGCCGGCAAAAGGUCCCCGGGAGAAUUGUGCUCCCUUAAAACAUCCCUUUGGAAGACUCUGCUUUCUCACUGCCAUCCUUGUUCCUGCUCCACACUGCUGUCUGGAGAAGCCCGUCUCAAUCUAGUGACUAUGGAGGGAGCCAGCCUUGGUACCCAAGUUCAGUGCCUGCCAGUUAAGUGGCGUGAGACAUCGGGAAGAAGAAAUCCACGUCGUGCUGGAAAACCUCCUCAAAGAACUUCUGCCGGUCCCGCAGUCUGAGCUGCUGCUGCA